UAUAUGUGAAUUUAGGUUAUUUUCAAUAUUGGUGCGCGACCGCGAGGGGAGUUAAGAAUGGAUAAAAUUACCUCCCCUGCCAAUCGAGCACUUACUAAUGUGGACGUUUCCGGAACGAUUGCAAACAAAAAUUAAUGCGUAUUACUUCGUAAUUGCAACAGCGAUUUGUAUCUGGUAGAUGACAAUAUUGCCGUUUGGUGCAGAAGAAACUCACUGACUCCGUGACAGAGUGUGUCCGCCUCGGGCUGGUUCAACUUUGAUGGCAAAGAAUAUAAAGGAUUUGUUAUAUCAGUGGUUCCCAGCUUUGGAGAAUGGUAUAAUGUUAAAUAUGACAAUGAUGAUGCUAUUUAUGCAUAUAACUUAUGUCAGGAUUACAAACAAGGUAUUUCUGUCUUGGCGCGGCGCACUUCGAUUCAUCUUAGCAGCAUACUAAGAAGUUGCCUGGUCCAAUAAAAGAUACGGGAUAGGUAUUUCUGUCUUGGCGCGGCGCACUUCGAUUCAUCUUAGCAGCAUACUAAGAAGUUGCUUGGUCCAAUACAAGAUACAGGAUAGGUCAGUGAUGGUUAUAGAAGCAGUCAGGAGUGAAUUGUGCACUGGAAAAACAUUCUAGAGUGGAAUAAAAAACUUGGGUCAGCUUUUUGUGAAAAGUGAAAAAAGUGACUUUCCGAAUGUUGAUUUUUUGCAUAAUCUGGAGUUGUUAAAUUCUAUGUGCUUUGACAUAACAUAAUAAAAGUAUACAUUUUUGUUAUAA